UUCUUGCACUAAUAUUUGAUUUAAUCCUAUUUAAGUGGAUGGAUUAUUGAACUUACGUUAGAUUUGAUCAUAUUAAAGUGGUUGGAUUAUAAGUUCAAUUUGUGUAUUGUUUCAUGUCCCAAUUAAGUCUGAUUUCUAGUUGCAUUUAUCUACAUAUUUUAAUUUCCUUUUGGGAUGUGCAUUAAAGGGGUCUCACUCCUAUAUUCAAAGCUAUAUAUAUAUUCUUAUGUUUUAUUAUUGUUCAUAAUGAAUCAACAGGCAUUCGAA
rnacentral:lncRNA from 1 species